rnacentral:rRNA from 1 species
AGCCAGACUCCUACGGGAGGCAGCAGUGGGGAAUAUUGGGCAAUGGGGGAAACCCUGACCCAGCGACGCCGCGUGAGGGAAGAAGGUUUUCGGAUUGUAAACCUCUGUCCUUGGUGACGAUAAUGACGGUAGCCAAGGAGGAAGCCACGGCUAACUACGUGCCAGCAGCCGCGGUAAUACGUAGGGGGCAAGCGUUAUCCGGAUUUACUGGGUGUAAAGGGAGCGUAGACGGCAUAGCAAGUCUGAAGUGAAAGCCCGUGGCUCAACCGCGGAACUGCUUUGGAAACUGUUAAGCUGGAGUACUGGAGAGGCAAGCGGAAUUCCUAGUGUAGCGGUGAAAUGCGUAGAUAUUAGGAGGAACACCAGUGGCGAAGGCGGCUUGCUGGACAGAGACUGACGUUGAGGCUCGAAAGCGUGGGGAGCAAACAGGAUUAGAUACCCCCGUAC